GAUUAUGAACAGCAGAACAUUCUGGAUUCAUUGCCUCUCAAUUACCAGAAGUUGAAAGCCACAUAUAGUGUGAGUCCCAAGAGAAAAAAGAAAAAAAAAAGUCUCUAUAUCUUCAUCAAAGAUAAUGGAAGCAAAUACAUGUCCACAGCAUCAGAUAAUGUGCAGAGCUGAUGUUCAUAUAAAAGAGAAGAAAUACAGCAAGAAGAAAAAGGACUCUGAAAAUGCUGAGGUUGAAAUACAAUACUGUAAAUGGGACAGCCAUGAACAUCCACAACUUCAUGUAGAAGAGGAUGGAAACAUUGAAUUUACUAACAAUCACAGGAGCACACAAGGAAGCUUGCAGUCUUCAGCUCUUGAAACAGAAGAUGAUGGUGAUGAUAAUGAUUUCACUGAUGAUGCCUAUGAAAAAACAGUGAAAAGAAAAGGAAAUAAGACAGAGAAAAUAGUAACAGAGUCUAAAAAAUAUCAAGAACCAGAUUUGCAAGACAAACAAUAUGUUGAACCAGAUUUGUCUGAAGGACAACAUGAUAAGUUAGAUAUACCAGAAUUACCUGAAAUUUUACCUUUGUAUAAUGUUAAAAAGUAUAUAAAUCGUGAAAGGAAAAAAACGUAUCCAAUGCAAAUUCGAGUCUAUGGGGUUGUAAGAACAUAUGAAGAAUGCUUUUAUCAGUUUCCUCCAGGAGUUGGCAUUCCUCCUGAAGAGAUUGAAGAGAUUCCUGAUGAAUAUAACCAUUGGAAACGUGAAUGGAAGGUUCUCUCAGAAAAAAAGUUUACAGAAGAAGAAAUAAAAGAAGAAAUAGAGAAUAAGAUAGAUAAGAUUUGUGAUUAUUUUCAUAGAUUUUAUACUGGAAAUCUAACAAUCAAGGAAUUGAAACCAAAGCGACCCAGAAAUUUUUUUGAAGUGUAUUUACCUACACCAGACCAAGUAGAGUUUCUAAAAAACUUGCACAUCAAAGUGAAUUGGAAACUCAGUUUAGUUCAUAGAUAUUGUUAUGAAUUCAUAUAUGGAACAUCUGCAUGCAGAGCAAUGGCUGCACAUGGAAUAGAAUGGAGAAAAAGCACUGGAUUAUCUAGGGUUGAAAAAGAAGUUGUAUUGAGUAACUGGAUUCGCUUUCAAAAGGAAUACAAAUUCUACGACUUGAGACCUUUACUUGCUGUGAAAACCUUGCAGUUAGUACGUGAUGGUUCCGAAAUAGAUAUAACAAACUGGCAGUACAUAUCUAGAAGGAACUUCAUCAAUUUUGGACUUUAUCUCUGCAGGGGAUUGCCUGAACGCACACCAAUGCAGUACGAAUUGGGCCAUGGACUGAAGCUGAGAAAAACAGACUGUUGAUGGGAUUAUUUUCAGAAUUGGACAUCAAGUCACUUGAUGAUGUUUUAGAUAUGCGUGCUGUUCCAUGGAACAGAAUUCUCCCAUAUGUCAGGACACGUAGUUAUAUGAACUUGAAGCAGCGCUGUCAUUACAUGAUUUGUAAGGAAAGACAGAGAUGUGGAGAAAGCUUCUCAGAUGAAAAUCGUGUUAAGCU